rnacentral:rRNA from 1 species
GACGAACGCUGGCGGCGUGCUUAACACAUGCAAGUCGAACGGAAAGGCCCUGCUUUUGUGGGGUGCUCGAGUGGCGAACGGGUGAGUAACACGUGAGCAACCUGCCCUUGACUUUGGGAUAACUUCAGGAAACUGGGGCUAAUACCGGACAGGAGCUCCCGUUGCAUGGUGGGGGUUGGAAAGUUUCGGCGGGUGGGGAUGGACUCGCGGCUUAUCAGCUUGUUGGUGGGGUAGUGGCUUACCAAGGCUUUGACGGGUCGCCGGCAUGAGAGGGUGACCGGCCACAUUGGGACUGAGGGAGGGAGCAGACUCGUACGGGAGGCAGCAGUGGGGAAUAUUGCACAAUGGGCGGAAGCCUGAGGCAGCAGCGCCGCGGGCGGGAUGACGGCCUUCGGGUUGUAAACCGCUUUCGCCUGUGACGAAGCGUGAGUGACGGUAAUGGGUAAAGAAGCACCGGCUAACUACGUG